UACGGAGGGUGCAAGCGUUAUCCGGAUUCACUGGGUUUAAAGGGUGCGUAGGCGGACAGGUAAGUCCGUGGUGAAAUCCUGCAGCUUAACUGCAGAACUGCCAUGGAUACUAUCUAUCUUGAAUGUCGUGGAGGUUAGCGGAAUAUGUCAUGUAGCGGUGAAAUGCUUAGAUAUGACAUAGAACACCGAUAGCGAAGGCAGCUUACUACAGGAUGAUUGACGCUGGAGGCA
rnacentral:rRNA from 1 species